GUCCUUAGUACGAGAGGACCGGGAUGGACAUACCUCUGGUGUACCAGUUGUCGUGCCAACGGCAUAGCUGGGUAGCUAUGUGUGGACGGGAUAAGUGCUGAAAGCAUCUAAGCAUGAAGCCCCCCUCAAGAUGAGAUUUCCCAACUUCGGUUAUAAGAUCCCUCAAAGAUGAUGAGGUUAAUAGGUUCGAGGUGGAAGCAUGGUGACAUGUGGAGCUGACGAAUACUAAUCGAUCGAAGACUUAAUCAAAUU
rnacentral:rRNA from 1 species